AGAGCGAACGCUGGCGGCAGGCUUAACACAUGCAAGUCGAGCGGGCGUAGCAAUACGUCAGCGGCAGACGGGUGAGUAACGCGUGGGAACGUACCUUUUGGUUCGGAACAACCCAGGGAAACUUGGGCUAAUACCGGAUAAGCCCUUACGGGGAAAGAUUUAUCGCCGAAAGAUCGGCCCGCGUCUGAUUAGCUAGUUGGUGAGGUAAUGGCUCACCAAGGCGACGAUCAGUAGCUGGUCUGAGAGGAUGAUCAGCCACAUUGGGACUGAGACACGGCCCAAACUCCUACGGGAGGCAGCAGUGGGGAAUAUUGGACAAUGGGCGCAAGCCUGAUCCAGCCAUGCCGCGUGAGUGAUGAAGGCCCUAGGGUUGUAAAGCUCUUUGUGCGGGAAGAUAAUGACGGUACCGCAAGAAUAAGCCCGGCUAACUUCGCGCCAGCAGCCGC
rnacentral:rRNA from 1 species